rnacentral:tRNA from 1 species
UCGGGAUAGCUCAGCUGGUAGANC